rnacentral:tRNA from 1 species
UAGCUCAGUUGGUAAAGAAUCUGCCUGCAAUGCAGGAGACCCAGGUUCAAAACCUGG